AGCAGCCAGAAAGUAAGCAGACUCGCAGAGGGAUAGCCUGCUCCUGGAAAUUCACAGGAAGGACUUUUUCCUUUGGUCCCACUGACCCACCAACCCCCCAACAAGAGAGGAACCCCAGCUUCAUCCUAUUGAGCCAUGACCUCUGUGUCCAUUCUCGCCCUUGUGAUGCUAUUCAUACCUAGACCAACAGAAGCACAGUCAGUGACUCAGCCUGAAGACCGGGUCUCUGUCUCUGAAGGGUCUCCAGUGGAGCUCAAAUGCACUUAUUCCUAUUCUGGGGCCGUUUAUCUCUUCUGGUAUGUCUGGUAUCCCAACCGAGAGCUUCAGCUCCUCCUGAGACAUACUUCAGAGGAAAGCAACAAAGGUUUUCAGGCUAAUCUCAAUAAGACUGAAACCUCCUACCAUCUGAGGAAGCUCCAUGUUCAAGAGGAAGAUUCAGCUGCGUACUUCUGUGCUCUGAGUGGCACAGUGGGAGGUCUCAUAAGGGGAGCUGAACACAAACCUGCAGAAAGUCUUUGA